UUGAACUGAAGAGUUUGAUCCUGGCUCAGAUUGAACGCUGGCGGCAUGCCUUACACAUGCAAGUCGAACGGCAGCACGGGCUUCGGCCUGGUGGCGAGUGGCGAACGGGUGAGUAAUACAUCGGAACAUGUCCUGUAGUGGGGGAUAGCCCGGCGAAAGCCGGAUUAAUACCGCAUACGAUCUACGGAUGAAAGCGGGGGACCUUCGGGCCUCGCGCUAUAGGGUUGGCCGAUGGCUGAUUAGCUAGUUGGUGGGGUAAAGGCCUACCAAGGCGACGAUCAGUAGCUGGUCUGAGAGGACGACCAGCCACACUGGGACUGAGACACGGCCCAGACUCCUACGGGAGGCAGCAGUGGGGAAUUUUGGACAAUGGGGGCAACCCUGAUCCAGCAAUGCCGCGUGUGUGAA
rnacentral:rRNA from 1 species